GACGAACGCUGGCGGCGUGCUUAACACAUGCAAGUCGAACGGAAAGGCCCUGCUUUUGUGGGGUGCUCGAGUGGCGAACGGGUGAGUAACACGUGAGUAACCUGCCCUUGACUUUGGGAUAACUUCAGGAAACUGGGGCUAAUACCGGAUAGGAGCUCCUGCUGCAUGGUGGGGGUUGGAAAGUUUCGGCGGUUGGGGAUGGACUCGCGGCUUAUCAGCUUGUUGGUGGGGUAGUGGCUUACCAAGGCUUUGACGGGUAGCCGGCCUGGGAGGGUGACCGGCCACAUUGGGACUGAGAUACGGCCCAGACUACUACGGGAGGCAGCAGUGGGGAAUAGUGCACAAUGGGCGGAAGCCUGAUGCAGCAACGCCGCGUGCGGGAUGACGUCCUUCGGGUUGUAAACCGCUUUCGCCUGUGACGAAGCGUGAGUGACGGUAAUGGGUAAAGAAGCACCGGCUAACUACGUG
rnacentral:rRNA from 1 species